rnacentral:misc_RNA from 1 species
UGGUUCUGGCAUCGAUGAAGAACGCAGCGAAAUGCGAUAAGUAAUGUGAAUUGCAGAAUUCAGUGAAUCAUCGAAUCUUUGAACGCACAUUGCGCCCGCCAGUAUUCUGGCGGGCAUGCCUGUCCGAGCGUCAUUUCAACCCUCGAGCCCCCCCCGAAACGGGGGGGCCCGGCGUUGGGGAUCGGGACCCCUCACACGGGUGCCGGCCCCGAAAUACAGUGGCGGUCUCGCCGCGGCCUUCCCCUGCGCAGUAGUUUGCACAGCUCGCAACGGGAGCGCGGCGCGCCCACGUCCGUAAAACACCCAACUUUCUGAACGUUGACCUCGGAUCAGGUAGGAAUACCCGCUGA